rnacentral:rRNA from 1 species
GACGAAGGGGGCUAGCGUUGUUCGGAAUUACUGGGCGUAAAGCGCGUGUAGGCGGUUGUCCAAGUCGGGUGUGAAAGCCUUGAGCUCAACUCAAGAAAUGCACUCGAUACUGGGCGACUAGAGUGCCGGAGAGGAUAGUGGAAUUCCCAGUGUAGUGGUGAAAUACGUAGAGAUUGGGAAGAACACCAGUGGCGAAGGCGGCUAUCUGGACGGUUACUGACGCUAAGACGCGAAAGCGUGGGGAGCAAACAGG